rnacentral:rRNA from 1 species
ACCCUUGACAUCCUCGGAACUUGUCAGAAAUGACUUGGUGCCUUCGGGAACCGAGUGACAGGUGCUGCAUGGCUGUCGUCAGCUCGUGUCGUGAGAUGUUGGGUUAAGUCCCGUAACGAGCGCAACCCUUGUCCUUAGUUGCCAGCGGAAUCUGCCGGGAACUUUAAGGAGACUGCCGGUAAUAAACCGGAGGAAGGCGGGGAUGACGUCAAGUCAUCAUGGCCCUUACGGGUAGGGCUACACACGUGCUACAAUGGGCAGUACAAAGGGUUGCCAAACCGCGAGGUGGAGCUAAUCCCAAAAAGCUGCUCUCAGUCCGGAUUGGAGUCUGCAACUCGACUCCAUGAAGCUGGAAUCGCUAGUAAUCGCGAAUCAGAAUGUCGCGGUGAAUACGUUCUCGGGCCUUGUACACACCGCCCGUCACACCAUGGGAGUGAAUUGUACCAGAAGCGGGUAGG